AGGUGGUGCGAUGGUUGUCGUCAGCUCGUGUCGUGAGAUGUUGGUUAAGUCCGCACGAGCGCAACCCUACCGUUUAGUUGCUAACGCGUGAAGGCGAGCACUCUAGACGAACUGCCGUUGACAAACGGAGGAAGGUGGGAUGACGUCAAAUCAUCAUGCCCCUUAUGUUCUGGGCUACACACGUGCUACAAUGGCCGGUACAGACGGACGCAAAGCCGCGAGGUGGAGCAAAUCCUAAAAAGCCGGUCUCAGUUCGGAUUGCAGGCUGCAAUUCGCCUGCAUGAAGUCGGAAUCGCUAGUAAUCGCAGGUCAGCAUACUGCGGUGAAUACGUUCCCGGGCCUU
rnacentral:rRNA from 1 species